rnacentral:rRNA from 1 species
GGAAUUGACGGGACCGCACAAGCGGUGGAUUGAUGUGGACUUAAUUCGAUGCAACGCGAAGAACCUUACCUACCCUUGACAUGUCCGGAACUUGCCAGAGGUGGCUUGGUGCCCGAAAGGGAAUCGGAACACAGGUGCUGCAUGGCUGUCGUCAGCUCGUGUCGUGAGAUGUUGGGUUAAGUCCCGCAACGAGCGCAACCCUUAUCAUUAGUUGCUACGCAAGGGCACUCUAAUGAGACUGCCGGUGACAAACCGGAGGAAGGUGGGGAUGACGUCAAGUCCUCAUGGCCCUUAUGGGUAGGGCUUCACACGUCAUACAAUGGUCGGUACAGAGGGUUGCCAAGCCGCGAGGCGGAGCCAAUCCCACAAAGCCGAUCGUAGUCCGGAUUGUUCUCUGCAACUCGAGAGCAUGAAGUCGGAAUCGCUAGUAAUCGCAGGCCAGCAUACUGCGGUGAAUACGUUCCCGGGUCUU